rnacentral:lncRNA from 1 species
AAUUUUUGUGAGAGAUUGCGAGUCGGAUUUCGGGCUCGAAAAUCGGACUGUCAAUCUCUUAUUUGAGGGCCAAUUCAUGUUGGAAUCUCAAUCAAACAUUUAAGAGGAACAAUUCCAUCGAACAAAACUAGAUAUAAAAGAAAAUAAAAAACUAUAACUAGAUAAACAGUAAUAAUAAUAAAAAUCUACCUAAUUCCCUUUUCCUUUUUUUUGUUUUCCAAACAAGCUUGUGCCCGUGUGGUGGUCACCGUCGGUCCAGCAAGGGUGUCGCGGUCGGGGCUCCGGCGAAGGUCCGGCGAGGGGCAGUAGCGUUGCAGGGGGUCUCCGUGGGUGUUGAUCGCGAGUCGUCGAGUAGUGGACUCACGGCUUCGAGCGGGCGGAGCGGGGCAGGAAAAGCUCCGGAUCGGCAGAAAUCAAGGCAGCGCAGCGAGGAAACUCGGUGAUCGGCUUCGACGAGCUUCUGCAUGGCCGUGCUCGCGGAAGGGCUGGGUCGGCGGUGCCGGUGUCACGAGCUUAUGGGCGAUGGCGUCACGGACAGGGGCGCUGCAGAUCGGCGACAGCAGAGGCGGAGUCGGGCCGUCGUGGGUCGGUGCGGUGGUGGAGCUUCGGGCUGAGGGCAGAGCAGAAACGGCGUCGCGGGAACUCGGGAUCCGGUGCUCGGGCAGAGGUUCGAUGGUGGAGCGCGCGGUGAUGCGGAGGAGCUUCGGGUAGUCACGGAUGGAGAAGCAACGCGGGGGCAGCAAACUUGGAGAGAAGAUGAACAGUAGGGGUCAAAUCACCCCCCUUUUUCUGCUUUUCCGCCUCUCCUCUGUCUCUUCCUUUUACUCUCCUUUUCACUUCCCACUUUUUUUACUUUUUUGCUUUUUUUCCUCUUCCUUGAUCUGAAGAAAACCUAGCAAAAAGCCUAUUCUCUCUCUUUCUUUUUCUGAAUUUUUUUUAAAAGGAAGCCCCCUAAACCUCUCGCACGCACGGCCUUUUAUAAGAAAAG